GAUACCCGGGUAGUCCACGCCCUAAACGAUGGAUGCUAGAUGAAGGGAAAUUUUUUCUUUGUCGUAGCUAACGCGUUAAGCAUCCCGCCUGGGGAGUACGGUCGCAAGGCUGAAACUCAAAGAAAUUGGCGGGGGUCCGCACAAGCGGUGGAGCAUGUGGUUUAAUUCGACGAUAAGCGAAGAACCUUACCAGAUCUUGACAUGCUAUCUAAGGUCAGUGCGAAAGCAUUGAUUACAUCGGGCUUGCCCGGUGAAUUUAGUACAGGUGCUGCAUGGCCGCCGUCAG
rnacentral:rRNA from 1 species